GAAGCGGGUGCCCCGGGCAAGUGUGUAAACACUCCUGGGAGCUUAGGAGGGCUGUUUGCAGGCCGCGGAAGCUGGGGCAGCGCGCUCACGGCGGUGCCCUCUGCAGCCCCAGGAGCGCGGGUUCCCAGGGAGGAAGAGCGUGGGUGCCCGAGGUGCGCUCAGGGACGGUCGGGGCCCAGGCGAGCGGGUUCUGUGCUGCAGGCCCCCAGCCACGGUCGCCCCCUGCCAGCCCGAUGCAGCGCAGGCCGCGAGCAUAGGCCAUGGGGGCAGAGGCCACUCGGGCCAGGCCUCCUUGACCCAGGUCGCCCGCUGCCCAGAUCGCCUGCCCGGCUGCGCUGCAGCCCAUCCCUCCGCUCGGGCCUGGCCUCCUCGACCCAGGUCGCUGGUGGCCCAGGUCGCCGGCCCCGCUGCGCACAGCCCACCCCUGCGCUGGGGCCCGGCCUCCUUGACCUAGGUCGCCUGCGGCCCAGGUUGCCUGCUCGGCUGCACCGCAGCCCAUCUCUCCGCUUGGCCCGGCCUCUUCCACCCAGGUCGCCUGCAGCCCAGGUCGCCUCCACCUCGACCCAGGUUGCCCGCGGCCCAGGUCGCCUGCCCGGCGGCACCGCAGCCCAUCCCUCCACUCUGCCCGGCCUCCUCGACCCAGGUCGCCGGCCCCGCUGCGCGCCGGUCCCCUCUCGGGAGCCAGGCCGCCAGGCCCCGGGGCAGGCGGGGCGCACGCCGCUCGCACAGCGCCCGCGGCCUCCAUCGCAGCCGCCCACCGCCCCGAGGCCCACCCGAGAGCAGCGGGCGCCCGCGACCUCCCCCCCCCCCCCCCCCCCCCCCGGCGGGGCACCGCAGCAGCAAGCGGCGGCCGGGGCCUGGGACCUGGGGCCUGGAGCCAGGCGGCCCUGCUGCUCGGCGGCCCUGCCCCGGGUGCCGGCUCCAUCCCUCCAGGCGGCCUCCCUCCGGCCCCCCCAGGCUGAUGUCGGGGGGCGGGAGCUGCAAACACGCACGCGGCAAUUACAGCUCAUUAGCUGCCCCCCGUCCGGGAGCCGCGUCCCGAGGCCGGCGCCGGCUGCAGAGCCGGGUGGGCCGCGCGUCUACACUCGCCAAGCCCCGGUCCCGACCGCGCAGCGGGCCGGCGCGGGGAGGCCGGGGCCGGGGCUGCCGGAGCCGCGCGGCCUGGGGCGGGUCCACCUGCGGCCCUUCCCGGCCGGGCCUAGGCAAGCCAGGGCCCCGGGGUGCGCCCACCCCGCGGGGGUCACCGAGGCCGCCCCGGGCCGCGGGCCGCGACAGCCGGCGGAGCCCGAGCGAGCAGUCGGGCGAGUCCCUGCCGGCCUCCCUGCCCGGGGACCGCCGCGCCCUGGGGCGCCCUGGCCGCUGCGACCUUCCCGAGCAAAUCAGAGGCCACGGAGAGCAGGGUUUGACUGA
rnacentral:lncRNA from 1 species